GUGUUGUGGUUGUGGCGGGAAGUACACUCGCUCCAAACAAGAAACAGUUAUGUGCGUUUUUAUAUUUUCUAAACGCCCCACUGCUCGGAGGCUACAGUAUUAUUUUAGAACUUGCUGAACAAAAAAACGAAAAAAAUAGGUUUUACGGUUAUGGUUUAAUUAUUUUACAUCUUUUAAUUCAUGCAGUUAGCUUUGGAAGUGAGGGGAAAUGUGAGUAAACAUGGCUGCUCGACUUGUGAAUCCAGGAACAACAACAAAAAUCAUUUCAUCUCCACGGUGAUGAGGAAGUCCCUGGGAGCCUCCACCUGUCGGUGCAGGUAGACGGCACCCGUGUAGGCGUUCAACUUGCGGGUGCUGAAGAACUUGUCCUGGUUGCCCUCCGUGAUGCUGACGAUCACGUUGUCGCCGGAGUAGGCGGGCGACGGGCCGAUACGGAAGAUCUGCGCCGGGAUGAGGAUGUUGGACUGGAAGCUGAGGUGACUGACAGUUCAAAGUAGUGAUGUCACUGCGGGGACAAGGAGCCACGGACGCCAUCUCCAACUCACCCUGACACAGGUGGCGGUCCAUGUGAUAUCCUGGAGGACACGUCAGCAUCCUCUGGCACACGUAACUUCCUGCGGUGUUCACGCAGCGCUCGUUCAGCUGGCAGACGUGUGCCCGCGUGCACUCGUCGAUGUCUGCGGCACGUGGAGAGGAAGCGGGAGGCAAGAAGAAGAAGACGAAGAAGGAGGAGCCGAGUCCACACGCAUCAUCGCCAUCCUUCUCACACGACAGUCCUCCUCUGGCCGCUCGUACUCCAGCCAGGCAGCGACCUUCUGUCAGCGAGCCCACACAACACCGCUGCUGGGACGUCCUGGCAGAGGAGACAAGUGGUAGAACACACACAUUCAAGUGCACUGGAGACACAUUGUCAAGUAUACACGUGCACUAGGUACACAUUGUCAAUAUACAAGUGGACUCGAGAAACAUUGUCAAUUAUACAAGUGCACUAGGUACACAUUGUCAAGUAUACAAGUUUACUAGAGACACAUUGUUAAGUAUACAAGUGCACCAGAGACACAUUGUCAAGUAUAUAAGUGCACUAGGUACACAUUGUCAAGUAUGCAUGUGCACUAGAGACACAUUGUCAAGUAUACAAGCGCAUUGGUACACAUUGGCAAGUAAACAAGUGCACUAGGUACACAUUGUCAAGAAUACAAGUGCACUUGGUACACAUUGGCAAGUAUAGAAGUGCACUUGGUACACAUUGUCAAGUAAACAAGUGCACUAGGUACACAUUAUCAAGUAUACAAGUGCACUUUGUACACAUUGGCAAGUAAACAAGUGCACUAGGUACACAUUGCCAAGAAUACAAGUGCACUUGGUACACAUUGGCAAGUAUACAAGUGCACUUGGUACACAUUGGCAAUUAUAUAAGUGCACUAGGUACGCAUUGUCAAGUAUAUAAGUGCACUAGGUACACAUUGUCAAGUAUAUAAGUGCACUAGGUACACAUUGUCAAGUAUGCAUGUGCACUAGAGACACAUUGUCAAUAUACAAGUGCACUACGUACACAUUGUCAAGUAUACAAGUGCACUAGAGACACAUUGUCAAGUAGACAAGAGCACUACGUACACAUUGUCAAGUAUACAAGUGCACUAGAGACACAUUGUCAAGUAGACAAGAGCACUAUGUACACAUUGUCAAGUAUACAAGUGGGCUAGGUACACAUUGUCAAGUAUACAAGUGCACUUGGUACACAUUGGCAAGUAAAAAAGUGCACUAGGUACACAAUAUCAAGUAUACAAGUGCACUUGGUACACAUUGGCAAGUAUACAAGUGCACUUAGUACACAUUGGCAAGUAAACAAGUGCACUAGGUACACAUUGUCAAGUAUACAAGUGCACUUGGUACACAUUGGCAAGUAUAUAAGUGCACUUGGUACACACUGGCAAGUAUAUAAGUGCACUAGAGACACAUUGUCAAGUAGAGAAGUGCACUUGGUACACAUUGGCAAGUAAACAAGUGCACUAGAUACACAUUGUCAAGUAUAUAAGUGCACUAGGUACACAUUGUCAAGUAUGCAUGUGCACUAGAGACACAUUGUCAAUAUACAUGUGCACUACGUACACAUUGUCAAGUAUAAAAGUGCACUAGAGACACAUUGUCAAGUAGACAAGUGCACUAUGUACACAUUGUCAAGUAUACAAGUGCACUUGGUACACUUUGGCAAGUAAACAAGUGCACUAGGUACACAUUAUCAAGUAUACAAGUACACUUGGUACACAUUGGCAAGUAUACAAGUGCACUUGGUACACAUUGUCAAGUAAACAAGUGCACUAGGUACACAUUGGCAAGUAUACAAGUGCACUUUGUACACAUUGGCAAGUAAACAAGUGCACUAGGUACACAUUGUCAAGUAUACAAGUGCACUUGGUA